rnacentral:rRNA from 1 species
CACGUAGGGGGCAAGCGUUGUCCGGAUUCAUUGGGCGUAAAGAGCUCGUAGGCGGUUCGAUAAGUCGGGUGUGAAACCUCCAGGCUCAACCUGGAGACGCCACCCGAUACUGUCGUGACUAGAGUCCAGUAGGGGAGACUGGAAUUCCUGGUGUAGCGGUGGAAUGCGCAGAUAUCAGGAGGAACACCGAUGGCGAAGGCAGAUCUCUGGGCCGUAACUGACGCUGAGGAGCGAAAGCAUGGGGAGCGAACAGG